CACGUUCGGCAUGCUUGACAAAUUAUCAAGGUAGGGGAUGUUCCGCUAAUGAAAUGGCACGUGGGACUCGUACACUCUUGGUCACACAUGAGGUGGAGGAAUAUGCUCCCUCGCCGGUUCAGGUUCAACAUUAACUUUCUCCUCCUCAUCACCAACCUCAAAAAGGAAGGGUGUGUCAUCCGCAGACUCAUCCGCAUUAUUGCCGUAGUCACUAUCAUCUUCCUGACUUUGUGCAUC
rnacentral:lncRNA from 1 species